rnacentral:rRNA from 1 species
UACGUAGGGUGCGAGCGUUAAUCGGAAUUACUGGGCGUAAAGCGUGCGCAGGCGGUCUGUUAAGACCGAUGUGAAAUCCCCGGGCUUAACCUGGGAACUGCAUUGGUGACUGGCAGGCUUUGAGUGUGGCAGAGGGAGGUAGAAUUCCACGUGUAGCAGUGAAAUGCGUAGAGAUGUGGAGGAAUACCGAUGGCGAAGGCAGCCUCCUGGGCCAAACACUGACGCUCAUGCACGAAAGCGUGGGGAGCAAACAGG